GGGCAGAGAUGAGGAGGGGGAGACUGUGGGGUGUGCCAAGGGGGCCCUAGGGCUGCGGGUCAGGCCUGUCAUGAUGUGUCAUUAGCAGGAGGCGUUCAGGUGCACCUCUGUCAUGACAGAGUAGGUACUUGGGCAAGUGACCGGAUCUCUGAGCCUCAGUUUACCCAGCUGUAAAACGUGGAUAAUAUCAGCAUACGGCUCAGAGCAGGGCUGAGAGGAGAAAUGAACCAAUGUGAGGAAAUUGCUCAGCAACGUGCCCAACAGACAUUUUGUCAAUACAUGCAGUUGUCAUCGUCAACGCUGCUCAUCUCCUUGGCAGUGCAUAGGCCCCUCUUCCUCGGGUGCCUAAUUUGGGGAACUCCAGGGACAGUCCUGUCUGGCCCCCACUGGGCUUCCUCCAUGCCUGUGUCGGGUGGCCACUUGCUGUAGAUGCAGCUGUAGCUCUCAACUGCCCCGGGUGACGUAUGCCAGGCCACUGGUCUCAGGGCUAUUUGUGUUUGUCCCCAGGGAAUGUCCUGCCUCUGCUGUGUGACCGCCACUGGGGCCGCUCUGCAGGCCGAGGACAGCAAACCUGUGUGCACCUCUGUGUCUGGAAGGCAGGGGGAGGUGGUGCCGUCCUUGUGAUGUCACCCCGAGUUUGGUCUCAGGUGCUUGGCCGACAUGGGUGGUGAUGCGGUGUCGAUCCCCUGGGGUGCGUCUUGUUAGGGUGCAUUGCUUUCUACCCAGUUUUGGGCUCAGCUCCCUUCUGACAUCAACCAGAGCAGCCGACCAAGGCUUUGCCGUUUUGGGGACAGGCCACUGACUUGGUCAUGGGUUCUGCCAGCGCUGAUCCCAGGAUGUCAGUCAACAGAAAAACGAAACCUAAGCCUCGUGUCCAGUGGGCUGCGGCUGGCUCCUGGACUUGUGCUCACGUGCUUUGUGACAGUAGGCGACUGAUCCCACCCCUCAGUCCUUGGCUUCCUCUGAUGAUGCUCAGGCGCUUCCUUUAAAUUCUCUGAGUUCAUUUUCCUCGCCUGUAAAGUAAGGAUGCCAUCAGGGAAGUUGAAACGCUAUCUGAAAUACCUGGAAUCUCUUAGGGUUCCCAUGGCGGGGGUUCCUACACUCACCCAUCCACUAGACGGAUGUUGAGUACUAAGGAGAAUGGUCUUGGUUAUCACCGUGUCCAGCACUGACCGCCUCACAGGUAGUUGGCGUGCGUGUGAGUGUGUGUUUGUGUGUGUUGAAUCAACUAGAUAAAGCAGAAAUUUAUUUUUUUAUCUUAUAAACAAGAAAAUGUUAAUUCAAAGAGGUGACAUGAAUUGUCCAGUGUACAGGGCUGUCCAGUGGGGAGAGCUCUAGUGGACUCCAAAGGCAAGUUCUUUUUUUCUGAGUUCUGAGUGUUGGCGCUACUACAUUCUGGUGAAAAUCAGAGUUUAGUGCCCUGAUCUCCUUUAAAAAAAUCUCUGAUUUCUUCAGGGGAUGUUAAUAAGAUCCACAUUUCCUAGAUAUUGAAAUACUAUUUAACUUGCCGAAUCAGUCUUUGGAACAAGUGUCCAUGUUCUUGGGCAUCAUUAGAGGAAGCCGAGGACUGAGGGGUGGGACCAGUUGCCUAAUGUCACAAAGCAAGUGAGCACAAGUCCAGGAGCCCAGCCCCAGCCUGCUGUUCGUCAAGUGUAUUUCCGUAUCUUCCUUGUUCUCUUUGGCCAGCGUCCUGGGUUUAGCAAACUCCCGGGGAUGAAGGGUUGCAGCAGACCUGCCACCAGACUCAGGCACCAAAUCCUAGGAAGUCAGGCGUGGAGUCGGAACCUCCCUCCCUGCAGGCUCAGCACGGGGAGGGUCUCCUUAAGAUGGGGCAGCGUCUUCGCCUCUGAGCCUCGAGGAUUUGACUCAUCUCCGUUUACCUGCUGGGUGAUGGAUCUGUCUUAGAGCCAAGUUAUCUAUUUAAACCAUCAGGUCUUCUCUGCCAUUGUUUGGAAAUGCAGGAUGAGAAAUCAGGGACGUUCCUUGAUGGAAGAAACCUUUGGAGGUUGCGCCCAGGCACAGGAGUGGCUUGGAGAGAGCGUUAGUUCAGGGCACUCCACCCGCUUUGCGUGGAGAGUUCAGGAGGACGCGUGCCCGAUACGGAUUCACCUUCUUCCUCAUUAAAAGAACUCAGCUUUGCUCUGGGAAGAAUGUAGCCAACUAUCGCUCCUGCUUUCCCAGAUUCCCUGGAGGCCAGGUGCAGUCAGAUGACAUCAGGUGGCCAAGCAGGUGACCAUUUUGCUGGGGGAAGCUUUGGCAUGAGGGUCAGCUCUCUCCGUAGCAGGGGACAGAUACACAUGACCCAGCCCCUCCAGCCCGUCACUCUUGAGGACAUCACACAGACAAGCCAGGUGUACCCGUGAGUUUCCCUGCUUUAUGUUUCCUAGAGGGACGUCUGGGAAGUGGAGCCCACCUGGGGAAGAGCCAGAUUGCGGAGAUGGUGCCCGAGUCCGCCCUCGGGUUGGGAAGGGAGGGUUGGUUUGCAGCUGGCUCUUCUGUUACUUGCAGCCGAGCGCAGCCCAGAUUGCAUGAGCGACUUGCUGGGGCACCGUCUUACCGGGCUGCCACUCAAAGAGCAUGUUCCAGAUAGGUCACUAGGAUGUGCCCCAUAGCAGCCCGUGGACGCACCAGCCUGGCCCCGGCCCCUGAGCUGGCCUGAGAGUUCUGUGUUUAGGGUCUUUUGAUGACUCUCAAGAGAGAGCCGGAACCCCUUCUUCCUGGCACUGGGUACGAGGGAGCUAUGAGGUCAGGAGAACGUAGGCUGGGACCAUGGAGAAGAAAUCUGAUGACGUCUCACUGGGGACAGAAACUUAGAGAUGUUGGUGACGCUCUUAGGAGAGGGGGUUUCCCCAGGGAAAGGCAGCUGCUUUUUCUUUGAGCUACAAGGACAACGAGUCUGGGAGCCGGCAGUAUGGCGAAGGCAGGCCUAGGGCGGGUCAUCUUGGGGUGGAUUCGACACCAGGACCCAGGAAGUCAGCUGGCUUCUAAGGCGGUGACCCUGGGCUCACAAUCCUUUCUUAGUGUUGAAGUGGGGGUCUAGAUGAGAACCACAUGGUAAUCAGAGAAUUGCUUUAAAGAGCUAGGAACCGUGAAGUGUGCCUGGCUCUGCUAUUGACUCUUCAGUAGAUCCGGCACAUCUGCACAGAGAGCCUCAGACCAUGCAGAAGCCCUUUCAGGGCUGCCAAUUAUAGUUGUCUAGAUUGUACACUGCACAAAGCCAGGGGCCACCAACUGCAUAAAAUCACCAUAUAUAAUAGCCCCAGGAAAGGUGCCUGGCACCUGAUGCUCAUCCCAGGCUCCAGUGACAGGUACCCUUAUUGACCUUGCUUUGUUUUCUUCCUGGUGCAUCUAUUAUUAGUUAAUUCAUCUUCUAAUUAAAAAUAGUAUUUAUUGAGCUCUCCUGUGUUCCAGGCACUUGGCCAGGGAUUGGGAAAACGCUGGGGAAAAACAAGGGGCUGGUCCACUCUUAUAAAGCUUAUGGCCAAUGGGGAACACAAAUGGUAAGUUUAAAAAAAACCCCACAGGAAUAAAUGUCCAUUUGUGACUGUGAUUGGCCUGGGAAGGAGACAGAAUUGGUGAUAGGAAAACUGAAAAUGUGGGGUUUUCAACUGGGCUGAAAAGUUCCACAAGGUUUGAGUUGGAGUCUAAAGGCCGAGUGGAAGUUCCUGGGCACAGAGAAGGAAGAACCCUUCAUGAUGAGGGACCGGCACGUUCAAAGUCCCACCAUACGAGGAGACGUGGGUCUCCUAAGACCAAGCCUAGCCUCGAACUUGCCAUCCUCCUGCCUCAGCCUCCCUGAUCACUGGGAUUACAGGUGGGACCUUGGCAGCUGUCCCUAGUUCUGAGUGCCUCUUGGGACCCAGCUCUUUGCCCCACACUGUUAAGCUGCCUCCUUUGUCCCACUGUCCUCUGGGACUCCUCACGUACCUCCACUGAGCCGCACCAGAGGGCAGGGCCCACCUGUCACCUGUCCUGAGACUCACAGGAUGGGGAUCUUGGCUGUAGCCCCACAUCGCCCGCCCCACAGCAGCAGCAGAACCCCGGGCUCUACCCACAACGCUCUUCCACGGGCUGGGACCAGAUGGGCUGUCCAAACUGUCCCCAUCGCCACCUUGAGCAAAAUACCAAGAUGCUACCAAAGCAAGCCUGGCUUUCCACGGCUGCUGUCCUGUCAGCACAUGGACGAUGGCGGUUCCAGAUCAGGCCCUUCAGAAAAGGAACCAUCUAUAAGCCCGGUGCGAAGGGAGGAGGGUCGGAGAAGCCAUUCCACAGGCUCCGUCUCCCGCAGGCUCCGCAGGUGAUCUGUGUGGUUCUGGCCGAGUGAUGCCCGGGGCCGGUUGGUUUCUGCAGCUCUCGGGAAAGUGAGGCGAUGCUGACGUUCAGGUCUCGUUUGAGGAUCGAGUUGGACACAGAAUCGGCGGCCGGGCAGCCUCCACCCACGGACACGAGAACAGGGCAGAUGUUGGCUUGUCACGGAGGAACGUUGUUUUUUUGUUUUGUUUUGUUUUGUUUUUUAAAGUUGCUGGAUCUGAUGUCAGAUGACAAAAUAAUCUUUUAAGACUGUGGAGUCCCCAGACGUCAGAUUUGGGGCGGCAGGUCGCCCAGGCCCCGGGGUGCUCGGCUCCCCUAGUGAUGGCCUUCAGGGUCAGCUGGGAGGGCCACUGCAGCACCUUCAGGGGCACAGGUCCUCCCGGUGACACUGCCAUCCUACAGCUCGCUGUGCUCUGUGCCUUGGAGGUCGCUUGGUCUCACUCUUAAACCCAGAGGCUCCCAGGACGUGAGUCCUUGCAGUGAUGGAAGCUCCCUGGGUUUCAUGAGAUGGAGGUCGUGGGAACCUUGUCUCCUGUUGAUCUGAGCCAGCCCUCCCGUCCACCCCGCCCUCAUCAUGUCACUGUGGGCAGCGUGAGCGCUCUGGGUAGACAGGUCUGAAUGUGCAUCCUUAGCUAGCUGUGUGGCCUUGACUAAGUUGCUUGCAUCUCUGAGCCACAGUCUGUGGAUCAAGAAAUCCUAUACCUGAGCUGUGUGGCUUGGGGAGUCAGCAAUAAUGUCUUCACAGCACCGAGCACAGUGCUAGGCACUGACUUGGGACACAGGGACUGGAAAAUGGUCACAAUAAGCUCAAUAACAUUAGAAGUUAUUAUUAUUGUUGUUGUUAUUAUUAUUAGCAUUUAUUCAAUCUAUGCUUUUUAAGACUCUAAAGAGUUGUUCUGUUCGAAACAGGCUCAUAGAAAGAGAAGGUCGUGCAGUCAGUUGGGGAGAGGCCCCAGUGCGAGGAGAACACUUGAUCUGUGGACGUUUGGGGCUGAGGAUUUAUAUACUUAUAUAUGUGUGAUUGGCAGUCCUAAAGAGAGGUUCCAGGAGUGGCUGUCAGGGGAGACACUGAUCACAAAGCCGAGUGUAAGCAAGAAUCAGGCUUCCUUCUCUGCUACAGGAACACGCACCCUCUGGGGCCUGGUUUUCAUUUGUAAUCUUAGUAACUCGGCCGCUGCAGACAGCGAACCUUGUAUUGAUCCGGAGCCCUGCAGGGGAGCUCGGCCUCGGGAAGCUGGGGACUGUGAUUUCGCCUAUUAGUUAGUACUCUCCAGAGCACGUGUGUGCGUGUGCAUCUGUGUGUGUGUGUGUGUGCACGCGCAUCUGCAUCACCAAGUGAGGUUGAUUCUGGGUCUUGCAGGGCCUGGUGGGGGUCCUCCACAGGGGGAAGGCUGUAGUUCUUCAGUGUCUGAUGACUGAGAGGGUCAAGAGAGGCUCCUCCCAUUUCCUUCCUUCCUCCCAGAUCACAAGCUACUCCAGGCCAUGGUUCCAGUGCAUGCUGUUAAGACUGGGCGGGAAAUGCGUAUAACCAUCCCUGCCCAGCGAAGUUGUCCUGUGCAUUGAUCUGAGCAGCCAUCACACAUGAAUCAAAAUGCUUUUCAAAAAUGUUUAAGGAGAUGGGAAUGUUAGCUAGCCUGGUCUGGUCAUUGCAACUGUAUACAUGGAUUAAAUCAUCACACCAUGCUCCAUGCAACGUACCUCUGAAAUAACAAUUUUUGAAGGUUAGGGAGUUAAUGACUCACCUUGAGGAGCAGCAUUUCUGACCACCCUCUGCCUCCCGAGAAGCCCCAGGAACUCCAGGAAUCUCCUAAAACUCUUGGAACUCUCAGGCCACAGAUCCUUUCUUUCGGGCAGAGAAACUGACAGUUCUGUAAGAAAAGAAAAACAUCAAGAUACUGAGACAUGGUGGUUCCCAAAUGAAUAGGCUGAUUCACUCCAUCAUCAGCCUAGAAGGAAUCCUGUCAGUCUAUACCCUGUCCUCAUGUGCAUGGGACUCACAAAUGGCCUCUCAGAGCCACGCUGUGCAGGGUAGCUUCAGUGCAAGAGAGACAGACCCAGACCAUCUGCUGCAUUUAAAUCUGUGGAAUAUUAUAAAAAUUGACUAACAGAGGUGAGAGUAGCUGCCUUGGGAACAGAACAGGGAUGAUAAAAGCUGAAACCACUAGUUCUCAUUAAAAGAUUUCAGCACUCUUUUUUUAAGAUAGGUACCACGUGCAUGUUUUAUUUCAUCCAAUACAGAAUUUACUUUUAAAACAAUUUUCUUAGAACAAAAGGAUGCUUCCCAUUGAACCAGUGCAUUAACUAAGGCUGAGAAAGGUUGGAUGAGCUGCCCAACACCACACGGCAAGGACGUGGAAGAGCCAAGUUUAACUCCACAACUGUCUGUCUGAAAACCUCAGGAUGGUGCCCUUCCCUGCUUGCUGAGUAAAAUCCGUUCAAGAAAACCAGCCUCUGACAAAACACUCCUGCUGUUAAGAGACUCUUCAAGGCUCUCGUUAAGGCACUGGGGCCCUGAGGUGUGUCUGGCUGUUCAUGAGUGAUUCUAGGCAGGUGCUCGUCACUGUGACCAAGACUAGGAGUGCUGAAAUUCAAUAUGGCGGCCCCCAAGGAUUGCCAGGAGACAGCAAGAAAUGAAAAACGUGCAGCCUUAAAAUGCGUCAUUGAUGUCUGACUGCAUGGGGAAUUGGGGAGUUGGGAGGAAUUCUUUUAGUGAUUUUUUUGUGUGUGUGUGUCUAAAAAAUCACCUUUGCUUGAAAUAAAUAAAUAAAUAAAAUGAGCUCCAUGCCGGAAGCCUCUGAUGUCUUUGUAAAUGCUGUUGUUUCAAGUGUUAGCAGGAUUUUCCUAAAUGCAGCUCCAAGAAAUGCCCGCCUCUUUUCUGUGCCACCAUUAUAGGCAGCGGACAGGGCUGCUCUGGAGUUCUCCUGGAUGCAGACAAACAGAGACUGAUAGUUAGGGAUGGCAUCAAGCAAGAGACAGAAAAAAUAUUGAGGAAGACACAGAGUGUCCCACUUUGGAGCUAACAAAUUAAAUGCUUUGGGGGCUGAGAUUGUCUCUUUUUGGUGGAAAACAUCCUAUGGGGCCCCAUUUGGAUCGGUACUCCUGUUCAGGGAAGGCUACUUCCUCUU